AUUGAACGCUGGCGGCAUGCCUUACACAUGCAAGUCGAACGGUAACAGGUUAAGCUGACGAGUGGCGAACGGGUGAGUAAUGUAUCGGAACGUGCCCAGUCGUGGCGGAUAACUGCUCGAAAGAGCAGCUAAUACCGCAUACGACCUGAGGGUGAAAGCGGGGGAUCGCAAGACCUCGCGCGAUUGGAGCGGCCGAUAUCAGAUUAGGUAGUUGGUGAGGUAAAGGCUCACCAAGCCGACGAUCUGUAGCUGGUCUGAGAGGACGACCAGCCAGACUGGACUGCGAAACGGCCCAGACUCCUACGGGAGGCAGCAGUGGGGAAUUUUGGACAAUGGGCGCAAGCCUGAUCCAGCCCUGCCGCGUGCGGGAAGAAGGCCUUCGGGUUGUAAACCGCUUUUGUCAGGGAAGAAAAGGUUCUGGCUAAUACCUGGGACUCAUGACGGUACCUGAAGAAUAAGCACCGGCUAACUACGUGCCAGCCGCCGCCGUAAGAC
rnacentral:rRNA from 1 species